UAAAAUCAAAAUUAACAAAAAAGGAACAAUGUUAAUCACACAAAAGAGAAAUUAAAAAUAAACUAACAAGAAUUAAUCAAUGAUUAGUGAGGGAAUAUGGACAAAGUUAUGAGCAAAGCAAUGGGCCACAAGGGGGUGUGAAUGUUAAUUGCUCAUUGGGCCAAAUGCCCAGUCCCUGAAAACCCAUGCUUGAUCCAACGCACGCCCGUGAUGAAGACUCUCCAAGACUCCGAGACCACGAUGCCAAGAGUCCAUAAGAAACGGCGACGUCGAAAUUCCGCUUUAUAAAACCCGGUUCCCAAUCGUGAAAUCUCAAACUUCUGAAAUCCAAGACUAAUCGCGAGCAUCUUUUCUUCUGUACGAAGAGGAAGACAAGAUCUGAUCGCGUUCGGCGUCAUCUUGGAAAAAGAAUUUCUGACUGAAAUUGUACGUGAAAAAAAAUAGAAGCGACUGAGGAAUGAGCCCUACCGGAGUUAGGAACCGCGUAUAGUGUUGAUGUUCAAGGUGAAGUUAGAUCUGUGCAUGUUGUUUGAAGAUGAAAGCAAAAUCCUCCGCGUUCAUAAUUUAUGGUGAGAUGAAGAUGAAUGCCUUCGCUUUCCAUUUUUGUUGAUUGAGACAAAGAUUAAGAUCUCCAACUCCCGCCGUUGUGAAUUGGUAGGCCUCUACUUCCUUUUUCAUUUUCUUCUAUUUGAUAUUCUGCUUCAAUUUCGUCUCUCUUCUUCUGUUUCGAUUCCGUUUCUCUUCUUCUUCUGUGUGUGGCCGUGUUGUUGUUGAGGUUUAGGAUUGGUGGAGGUUGUUCUUGGGAGGUUGAGAGUUACGCGAGGUGUGGUUUUUCUACAAGGUGUCGAAGUGUUAUCAUAGUUAAGGGAUUGGGAAAGAGAGGUUUGGUUGGUCGGUUCAAGGAGAGAGAUUGGAGGGUUUUGGAGGAUGAUGAUUGUUGUGUGAAUGGAAGAUUAUGGACGAGAAGUUAUGGUUAUGAAUAGAAGAUGGAGGGUGGUUGAGGAAGAAGUUUGUAUCCGUUUCUUGCAAGGCAUUGAAGAAAACGGUUGAGAAGAAAAAAUGAAGAUGAAUUUCGUUCUCCAGGUGCAGGGGAAGCAAUUUUGGUUAAGUAAUUUGUUGAAGAGAGAAAAAAAAUCGCUCCUGGGGUUGUAUUGUUAUGUAAUUCUCUUUUCGUUGUUGGUGAGUGAAGAAGGCUGUUAUGGGAAGUUUUUUUGGGCUGAGAAAAUCGGUUAACAGUUGGUUAUUCGGUUGAAGAGUUGGUUAGGUUUGAGAGAAUUCAAUUACGUUUCGGUUAUUUCCGUCGGUUAGGGGAAGUUAGGAGGUGAUUCUUGUUCUGGAAAUUAUUGAGGUUUAGAGUUAUCGGCAAAAUUCUCUUUUGAUUGUUGGAGGUUCAAAAUUAGUUAUGAGUUUGUUAGGGAAGGUUCAUUGAAUGAUGAGGUUCUCUUUCUGUUAUCCUAGAAAUUCUCUCAUCCACUUCUCUUUCUAUUAUAUGGAGGGUGAAGUAGUUAGAAUGAGAGGUUGGUUGCAAGUUGUUGAAGGGUUCGUAUAUGAGUUGUUGGUUGAAGGUUUUGAUGGUUAUCAGUUAUGGAAAUUUGGUGGGUUAGAGGGGAUGAGGAGGGUGGUUUCGAUUCUAUUUUUGAGGUUUUUUAUGAGGGUUCCUUGAAGGGUUAUUGAAGUGGAUUGUGAUAUUUUGUUGAAGUUGGAAGUUCGUUUUCUGCAGGUUAUCGGUUUCGUCAUGCUACCGGUUAUAGAAGUGUUUUGUUAGAGUUGUAUUCCAUAAUUAGAUUGUUGUUAUCAGUUUUUCUUUAAUGUACAUUAAUUAAUGGAUUAAUGAUUAUGGAUGUAAAAGAUCAAUUUUUAGAUUCAAUUGGAAUUAAUGGAUAAUUGGGCUUGUACAGGUUUGGAUUAAAAUCGGAUUGGUAAUAUGGACAUGGUUUGGAUUUAUGGAUUUGAGGUUAUGAAUUAAAAUGAAUUUGGAUAAUGAAAAAACUUGGAUUUAAAAAUGGAUUUAGGAUAUGGAUUGGAUAAGUGGAUCAAAAAUUGUUAAAUGAAAAAAAGAUUGGAUAUUGAAAAUGAAAUGGUCAUUGUAUUGGAUUUGAAAUGGGUUGAAAUGUGAUUAUGAAUGGUUUUAAAAAUAUGAUGAUUAAAAAUGGACUAAAAAAUAUGAAAAUGACUAAGAAAUGGUUUUUGGUUAUCAGGUUGACUUUGGUCAACUGGUUGACCAAAAAGUCAACUUAUGUAAAAACACGCAUUUUCUGAUGGAAAACGAAAAUGGACCAUGAUGACAAUGUAACGCAUGGAUGAACUGGAACUAUUAAGAAUUGAUCAUCUAUUGAACCAAACAUAACUCAAGGUCUGAACCAACUAUGAACAUGUAUGCAUCAUGACUGCGUGUGGAUAUGACUGAAAAGCCUAAUGUUCUUAAACCAAAUAAAAUAUGUCAAUCCAAGACUCAAAAUCCAAUCAUUCAAAGCCAACCAAAUGAUACUUAAUCAGGCAACCGGUUGUGGCACCUUGAAUGAAUCUUAAUUAAUGAACCAGAACCAUGAAUCUUAAGCAAACAACUGAAUCAUUUAUAAUGAGCCAAAUGAAUCAGAUGUAACCUCCCUAAAUUAGGGUUUCCUGAUGAAUACAUGCAAGAUGAAAAGUUCAAACACAACCAUGUGUCGCAACGCGAAAAACAACCGGCGGAAAAAAUACAGAGCCGUCACCGACGCUAUUCAUCCUAUGACGGAAAGGGAGCAUAGGACUAACCUAAGAAAGGGAAAGGAACGGUCUUACGACCAGAGAUUACAAGGUACGGGAGUCGGUUACGCAAGGGGAAGGUAUUAGCACCCCUCACGUCCGCCGUACUCGACGAGAUCCACGCUCAUACCUAAGAAAGGGAAAGGAACGGUCUUACGACCAGAGAUUACAAGGUACGGGAGUCGGUUACGCAAGGGGAAGGUAUUAGCACCCCUCACGUCCGCCGUACUCGACGAGAUCCACGCUCAAAAGAUAUCUCAAAGGAAAGGAAAAGGUUGCUAAUAAACUGCUCAAAGAAACUGCACAAACUGGAAUGAUAAACAGGUGGGUGAAAGAAAGAAAACGGAGGAAGUGGACUCGGCAGGAUGUCGCAUCCUGGGCCUACGUAGUUUGUCAGAAACAAACAUCAGAGUCAACGUAGUUCGGGAAAAAGAGACAUGCUCGCUAGGAUAUCGCAUCCUAUGCCUACAUAUCUUCUCUGUCCAGAGGAGAAUCAGAGCACUCGUAGCACGGCUAACGCACGCCGAAACAAACACCAAAAAGGAAAGGGACGCUGAGACAUCAAAAGAAACACCCAAAAAGGAAACAGAAUGCCAAUACAUGGACUUACACCCGACUCCCAACAAUAACGAACAAGGAAACAGAAUGCCAAUACAUGGACUUACACCCGACUCCCGACAAUAACAAACAAGGAAACAGAAUGACAAUACAUGGACUUACACCCGACUCCCAACAAUAACAAACACUAACCAGCGAACACCAAAGAAAAAUGUUAUCGGAACGAACCCCCACAAGGUAACCAAAUGCCCAAAGAUGAACCCCAAAGAUUAACAAUCUUCACAAAUGAACCCCGAAGAUGAACCCCAAUCAUCACAAAUGAACCCCAAGAUGAACCCCGAAUGAAUGACAACCGUCAUAAAUAAACCCCGAAGAUGAACCCCGAAUGAAUGACAACCGUCAUAAAUGAACCCCAAUGUGAAUAACAUCACACACACAUGCUAAACAAACGGGUACUCGUACCAAAGAAAAACCAACAAAGGAUGAACAAACACCAAAACAAAGAAAAGGGUGCCCGAAGAGAUUGCUCGCAACCUCCUGCCUACGUAUCUCAUCUGGUAUGAGAAUCAGGGCGACGUAGUUCCCCUUAACAGGGGUAAAACACUCUCCUAACCAGAGACCAGGGAAACAACAAACUAAUAGGGAUUAUCUCAUCUGGUAUGAGAAUCAGGGCGACGUAGUUCCCCUUAACAGGGGUAAAACACUCUCCUAACCAGAGACCAGGGAAACAACAAACUAAUAGGGAGACUAAGACUCGAGCCUAAUAGUUGUCACGCAAUCAACAUCCCUAAAUUGAGGUCUCUAAUAAGAAUUUGACUCACUCUGGAAGCGAGUCAACUCAAGUCUAAACUCUACAUACGUUCAACUUCCUCAGAAAUUAAUCGUACGACUCCUACAGAAAAGGAGAUGAGAAGAGGAAAUCAAAUAAACACACCAACACAAGUGAACAAGCAUCACACACUAUAUCCAUACAAAAGGCUCAAACAAUGGGUGGCCUUUAGUCAAGAGAGGUCAUGUCAACCUCGACAAACAAGCCAAACUGUAAGGGGUAACCUGUAGCUCUUAACCACUAACAUUGAACGUUUGGGUGAAGCUGAUCAAAAUGGUAAUGAGGAUGAGACCUCAUGCUCUUAACCCUGGCCAGGGUGAGCUCAUGACACGGAAAGCGUGGGGAUCUAGAAAGUGGGAUCCUUUUCCACUUGACAGACUCUGGACAAAAGAUCUGUGGCACAUGUUCAGAAGCAUCAGCACGUAGUGCGAGCAUAAAGAACGACACACUGAAUAACGGGGGAUUGACUAUUGAUUCCUUUUAUCCGUCAAUUGCCUCUUCUCUUGGAGGUCUUAUCAAAUAUAACACAUGCCUCAUCUUGGAGGUUUUUAGGCACAAUUUUAAACAAACACAAACAGAGCCUCUGAAGGAGGACUUGCCAGCAAAAUGCCUGCCAAAAAGGUGACAGAACUUCAGACUACAUGAAGUAAGAAGCUAACUACCUGAGUGGUGUGUCAACCACAAUCCAAUGCUCAAGCAAGAGCUAAAGCAAGCAAGCAGCUAAGGUACCUGUACAAAGACUAAACAGUUAGUACUUCAGUCAUAAACCCAGAACAAGCAGUGAAACCCUCUAACAGUUGCACAAUUCAAUGCAUAAGGGCCCUAACACUCAAAUGCUCAUGAACUCACCACAUCAAUCAAGACCCUACAAAACAAACAUAGGUCAGUACUCAAUGCAUUUGCAUCUCACAAGGUGAGAACAAACCCCAUCAUCAAUGAUAAGUAUCCAAUCCUGAAACAAUAGACAAAGUUAGUCUAUAUACAUUAAACCAAUACAACAAAGCAUAAGCAAACCAAUGGCAUAAGAUGAAUCAACGAUCACAAGCCCCAAACAGAACCAUAUGAACCCCUAAACAUCAAUCACCAUGGCCAAAGAUCCAUCAUAACCUCAAAUACCAUUCAAUUGCUUCAAAAGCUCCAAAAUAGGCCCCAAAUGAACUUCCAACUUAGAAAAUUCAUACCAAAUCAGAAAUGCAUGCAAUGACUUUGAGAUUUUUUGUAUAAGUUCCUCAUGCCAUGGAUGUUCAACAUGCAAAAGAUUAAAUCCAGAAUGAUGCAAAUUCUAUGUGAACAAAAAUGCACCAAUUCAAUGUCAAAAAUGUGACACAAAUUGUCACAUUUAUCUCUAUGUGUCAAACAUGAUGAUAACAUGUGAGAAAAAAUCCAAACUAAUGACCAAUAAUUCAUAUCAUGUGGGAAUGUCAUGUAUGAAAAAGAGUGGAUCAAAUGGCUCAAAAUUGAGGAUUUCACAACACAUUGAAUGUACUAGGUCAAUUUGGCACAACCUUGAUUCAAAAAUCCCCAUAUAAAAAUCCAGACAUCCAAAAUUCAUGAAUUCAGCACCAUAAAAGGGUAGACAUCAAUACAAAACUAUGAAAAAAAAUUGGGACUCAUUUGGAUCAUUUUUGCAUUUUUUAUGAAUUUUACAAAAUGAGCAAAAUAAUUGGAAUAUCAAAUAAAAAUGGAGGGAAAUGAAAAUGUUUGAAUAAAUCCAGAAAAAUCCCCAGCCAUCAGAUCUGGCGCGUGCAUCAGAUCAAUGGUCCAUGUUUGAAUGAUGAAACGCUGCGUUUCAUUUAUGACUCAGCACACAAAGUCAUCAGUUCAGCGCACGCGUGGCCAGUCAAAGCAAUCUUAGCCAACCAAACCUCCACGCAUGAGGCCAUGUGGCUUACACAUCAGCCAAACCCUAGCACACGCAGACGCCGGAGCUCCUGCUCCGGUCGUCUUCCCCGAUGAGACUCCGGUGGCUCCCAUGGCGGCGCCACCACAAAAAUUUCCAGAAAUUCCUCAAACCUAUACCGUUCGAUUCGUCUUUCCACGCUGGUUCCAAAUAUGCUAUUGGAUUAUCCUAAAUCUCCCUAGAUUUUGCAAAUCGAAGAGAGAAAGUUUCUAGAUCCAAACUUCCAGUCAACACUACAUCCUCAAUUCUCACUCAAUCUCAGUUCUAAACACAUAUUCGUAACCUACUCAACAAGAUCUACCAUUAUAUGACCUAAAAACAGCAAAAGGAGAUAAUGAAAUUGAAGUCACUUGAAAUUGAAGCUUUCUUAUAAUCACGAUCUCACGUGCUCAACUGCUCCAGAUCCACUCCUAUGAGCUUCCUUUGAAGCUUUAUGCAAGAAUCAAUGGCUGAAACCUUCUGAAUUCACCUCAAUUUCCAAAUUCGAUCCAUAUGAUGAAGCUCUUGAACUGCAUGAUUUCUUGAUGAAUUGCACCAAAUGAUGGAUGAUUUUUGAUCAGUGAAGCAUGAGGAUCAAGAAUAUGUAAUAAUAUUUGAGGCUUGUAUGGAGAAAAAUCAAAUUCGAUUGAGAGAAAAUUUUGGAGACACUAUUGAAUUCUAGAUCUGAAAUGGUUGUUAUGGCAGUUAUGAUUAGGGUUUUGCUAUUUAUAUUCCUUGCUAAUGACACUGUUAAUCAUCUUAACCAUUCACUAAUCAUGAUUAGUGAGUUAUCAUGUCAUUUGCCAAAAUGCACAUUAAGCUCUGAUGGCCAUAAUCCACGUGUUUAAUCCCAUGCUAAUGCUUAAAUUCACUCAAAAUCAACCAAGGGUCAUGAUUUGAAGAUCAUUUAGCUUGCAUCUUAAGCCAAGAAUGAAUGGUGAAGAUUUGCUUCAUUUUGAACAUGUGUGGAAUAUAUGACUUUUGACCAUGAUUCCUUUGCACAAUUGAGCCAAAUGAUGUCAUUUUGAGAUGCCUUGAACAUGAGAAGCAUUUUGCAAAAAGAAUGAACCAAUUUGAAGCAUUACACCAAAAGUUAUGCCAUUUUGAAUUUCCAUGCACACCUUGUGAUCAAAUGACCAUAACUCCUCAACCAUUCAUCAUAUGGACAUGAAUUAGGACUUUUUGGAAAGGGGAUACAAAGAUCUACAACUUGCAUGUUCACCAAAAAUCCAUUUGAAACUUCUUUGACAUUGACAAGUCAAGUUGAAAGUGGUCCAAAAACUUGCCAAAUUUGGAAACUUUGAAUUAUAGGUCAUUUUCCAUUUUUAGUAACUUUUGUCAUGACCUUUGAAUCUUCAAUAUGGAUGUUUAGAAUGAUGAAUAGACCCCAUUUGAACAUGAUUGAGGUGUCUCAACUCAUUUCCCCACCUCAAAGCCCUCAGUUGACUGCAUAGUUGACUUUUGGUCCUCAGAUGACCUUGAGAUGUCCUGAUCAACUUAAGCCUCUACCACUUGGUGAAAUAACUUCAAAAUGAAACCCUAGCUCAUGUAAGCUCCUUAUAAUAAUCAUGUGAUCCUCAUCCUAAGAAAAUACCUCAUCUCUCUGAGAAACCCUAGUUGGAAGAACUGCAUUGAUUAGGGUUGACCAAAAGUCACAACCCUAAUCCAGAUGAACUUGAGGAUGCACUCUGAAACCCUUGAUGAUGAUAGAACCAUGAUGAUGGUAAUAUAUCCUUGCAGAUAAGAUAAUCCUCAAGACCUGUGAAGAAUCAAGAAACCCUCAUUAGAGCCCACCCUCAGAUGGUUGAUGAUCAAUUCAUAAAGACCCUCAGGCUUGAAUCACCUAACUUUCCCCAUCUUUUGAAAAGACUUUGGAGGAUGAACUCCUCAUUUUCAUAUGAGAUGCAAAAUGCAAUGCCUGAUGCCCUAAAACAUGAAAUGCAAAGUCUCAAACUAGUCUCAAGAAGAGGAGGGCAAAUUUUGAGGUGUUACACCAUGUCGAUCACAUAAACCCUAGCCUGGAGACUUAACCUUUAUUCCAUGCCUUGUGUGAUAAAACCCUUGAACCCAUGAUUUUUAUGUUUUACGAAUAUAAGUGGAAUAUGUUAUGAUACAAUGAAUAUGUAGAUGAGAUGAAUGCUUAUCGGGAUAUGCAAAUGAUUUAGGUUAGUGACCUAGAUGAACUUGUGAAAAGUAGGGUGAAUUUUGGGGUAUGACAUCUGCCCCUAUUUAAUCUUCUCAAACCUGAAUGUAUGGAUAGUAACAGCUUCCCGACAUCAAGGUAGGAAAGGAUUAAAUACUAAAAUAUCGAAAAAUUUUCCCACCAGGAACAAAUGAAAUGUGAAGAUAGGUCACGAAGGAACUCUCCACUGAGGUAUGGGAUGAACAAAGUAUCUUUUGUGCAGGACAACUGCUGGGGAUUGAAAAGUUAUUUAGUCGAUGGAUAUUUAUUAUUCUUUUUUUUUCUUCACAAUAAGCUCUCUAUAUUUUUAUUAACAAGCUUUUUCUUUUUCUUUUUGUUUUUUUUCAAAACUCCCUGGCAAGCACUGAGAAUUUUCCGUCGGGGAGGAAGGGUGGAAGAUGUUGGAAGAAAUGAUUUGCCAGGUGGAACCUAGACUUUGAUGUGAUGGCUAGGGUAUUGAGACUUUGUUAACCAAAGGGUUAAGCAGGAAGAUGAGGUCUACACAAAUGAGUGAUGGAUAUCAAUAUAGACGAGUAUCGAAAGGGGUCAGCAUGGCUGAAAGCGGGAGACCAGCAUGAACGAAUACGAGCAAUGAGACAAAACGAAGGAAGGUUAAAAUAUCAAUACGGUGAGUAUUGGAAAAAGGAUUGACACAUAAAAGGGAAUCGACACAGAUGAUUUUAUUUUGCAAGAAAGGUAAACACAAACGAGUGUUAAGAAUCCACAUGGACGAGUAUCGAGAAGCAAAUCAGCACAAACGAGUGUUGAUGACCGAUACAAAUGCGUAGCAAAAAAUGUUUAACACAAACGAGUAUCUCAAUACAUACAAUUAUUAGAAAAAGAGGUUUUAACACAGACGAGUGUUGGAUACCAAUACAGACGAGUAUCAGGGAAAGGUUUAACACAAACGAGUGUUAGAGACCAAUACAGACGAGUAUCAGAAAAAGGUUUAACACAAACGAGUGUUGGCAAACUUAUGUCUGCUCAUACAGGGAAAGGUUUAACACAAACGAGUGUUAGAGACCAAUACAGACGAGUAUCAGAAAAAGGUUUAACACAAACGAGUGUUGGCAAACAAUACAGACGAGUAUUCGAAAAAGGUUAACACAAACGAGUGUUAGAUACCAAUACAGACGAGUAUCAGAAAAAGGUUCAACACAAACGAGUGUUGGAGACCAAUACGGACGAGUAUCGGAAAAAUAUUUAACACAAACGAGUGUUGGAGACCAAUACAAACAAGUAUCAGGAAAUUUUAACACAAACGAGUGUAUCAAUACAAAUGAAUAUUGGGAAAAGAGGGACCGACACGGACGAGUGGGAUAUCAAUACAGACGAGUAUUGAAAAAAGGUGAUACACAUUGACGAGUGAGGGGAUAUCAAUACUAACGGGUAUUGAAAAAAGAGAUAAACACUGACGAGUGCUUAACUGGUUUUUUGAGAGAUAAGGAUUACCGGGUAGGAACAAAGUUUAAAAGGUUUUUUCCAAUGAGGGUUGGACUUUGAAAAGGUGCCAACGGAAAUGGACUGUUGAAUAGUGCCAGGAAAGUUUUGGGCUUGCUUCUUUCUUGUUAGAGAACUUCAUGCUAUGCUGGAUGAUAUGCAUGAAUGUGAUGAUAUGAAUUAUGCAUGACAGGUUGAUGCAAUGAUAUUAGGGUCUACAGAUGCCCCAAUCUUAGGUACAAUGUAAUGAAUGCUGAGAAAAAUUAGCUUGGGUUGCAAGGCUUAUGAUUUAUGGAGUGUGGGUUGCGUCUCGCAUGACUUCCCGACAUCUGACUUCUUGAUAUUGCUUGAGGAAGAAUUUGACAUGGACCUCCUGAUGCCCUAGGCUGGGUCUGCAAAGCUUUCACAAGCAGGGAUAAGACCUUACUCUCUUAGGACCGUCUUGCCCCAGCCUUUUGGGUAUCUGCACGGAUUUCCCCAGUCACAAGCUAUGAAGUAACUUUGUCGUGGAUUAUUUAAAUCUGGCUUAAACCGGUGUCUUGGAACUACAUUCCCAUGAUUAACCAUCUUGGAGAUAUUGACUUCUUGUGCUCUUGGGGUGGCCUACCCCAGUAUGAGCCUUUUAGGGAGUGCCCCUGACCAAUUGGUAUUUAGAGAGAUUUACCGAAUCUCGACGUGAUUACUUCUGAUCGGCUGGAUCUUAUGGAGAUUUCUCGACGUGACUGCCUCCAAUCGACUGAAUCUUAUAGCGGUUCUGUCUUUCUACUCAACAGAGUCUUCAAAAUUCUACCUUGGUAUAAUCAAGAGAAAUGGCUUGCCCCUCCUCAACGGAGGUCUCAGGCGUUCUACACUUUUGAUAUCAUCAAGUUCCUCAAUUCAUGUUCAUUGUAACAGAUUCUUGGAUGUCAAAUGCUUACUCACGAGUAAGACAAGUUGAUUUUGGAAAUGAUAAUGCAAAUGUCAUGUUUACGCAUGUUUUGAAAUUCCAUUUUAUUCACUGGAGUUAUGACAUAUAGCGAAUGAACCACUAAUGGGAAUGCCAUAUCGAUACCGACGCAAAUGAUAAUCAAAUCAUUAAGAAGUCAGUUUAACACGAUUAUACUGACUAUAACAUGCUUUCGAACUAAACCAUGCUUCAAUUAGGUCUUUUGAGGGUUGUAAUGUGGCAUAGUUCACGGUUUUCAAAAAAAAGGAUUUAUGGCUCGAAACCUAUUCUAACCCACCCACUCUUCGUGAUGUUCUCCACUCCUAUGUUCAGCUAGUUCGAUACAAGCGCCCGCCUUCCAAUAGGUAUUUGGGGGUGAAAAUGAACCCACGAGAUUCUCAGAGUCGCAGUCAUGCACCUUCUGUUUGGUUUGUAGCCACGCGAUUUUGCUCUUAAUGAGGAUUUUCUUAUGAUUACUCUUUGUUUGAUUCAUUCUUUCAUUUCCCUACUUUUGCUGGAUUGAUUCUGAUUUGCAAUCCACAGGGAUCCCCUAAUUUUUUCCUAAGUCACUUGUUCUCAAGUUUCGACUUAGCGAGCUUCUUGUCUUUUCUUUUGAUUUUUUUGAUUUUUGGGAAUAACUCGUGUGACAUUUGUUCGAUUGAUUGGAUAGGUUGUGACUGCCUCGUGUCUCUGUGGGUGAGAGACAACCAAUGUGGACUAAUUGUUUCCGACCUCUUUUGAGGGAUAAGAUAUGGUUGAUCCUGAGAUAGGACACUCCUCUUUUGAAGUUUGAACGCCUGUCCAAACUAACUGACGACUACCCUGCCCCGGGUUAAGAUUGAGGGUUUUAUAUUCAGAAAGAACUCCUACUCCUUGGCUCGAAGGGGUUAUCUAGAUAUUAUCUUCCUUAUAACUCCGGUGUUUAGGAUUCGAAACAAUGCCUUACAUCAUCAGCAAUGUUAAAUUCAAAAUCAUACAUGCAGUGAUAUCAUGUUUUUGAUUUCGUCAUUCUCUUUUUGAUUUUGCUUAACAAAAGUUUGAUAUCGAUGGAAAAUAUGAGUGGGCACGAAUGAAUUUAUUCAAAACAAUUCAUAUUUAUUUCAAUUUCAUUAUUAUUAAAAAACAAACGAGUUUAUUACAAGUGAAUAUCUACAAAUGACAAACAAGAAAAAUUACACGUGAAAAAUGAUUGAACAAACUAAUAAUUACUGGAGUGAUCAGCCUUAUUCCUCGCACGGCUUAGGGUCUUGGUGCUUGCAGAAGCUGACGGGAUUGUCCCACAGAUACAACUCCUUCAAAUCUACCACUGCUUUAACUACAUCAUUGCAGAUGUACUGGCCUGCGCGGGGUUGUUCAUGACAUUUGGAACAGGUGGCGCAAACGAUAUAGCUUUUGAUUUGAUCAAGUCUUGGACUUUAUGCUUCAAAGCUCUAUAGUUCUCAACAAUGUGUCUAGGUUCUCUAGAAUGGAAUUCACACCUAGCAUUAGCAUCAUAUCCUUGAGGGAGAGGUGUUGGGGGAGGUCCCAACUCUCUAUAUUGCACCAAGGAGUCUCGAAGCAAGUGAGCAAGCAGUUGACUGUACGACAUCGGGAUCAGGUCUAUCCUUCUGUAUGGCUUCCUCAGUUUUUGGUUCCCCUGCGGAUAAGGACCAUCAUUGUGGAGCGUAGGGUUGUUGAUACUGCAUCGAUGGAGGACGAGUUGGGAUAACAUACGUUGGUUGCUGGUACGAAUUUGGUGCUACUGCUGCCACCGAAUAGUAUGGCAUUUGGUAGGCUCCAACUUCUCUUUUGGCUAUCACGGAAAGAUUGGUAUCCCCUUCCUUCUUUGUGGGGAAUCCGAAAUGGGAUUUCUUUGCUCCACUGGCCAAAGCUGUUGUAUCCUGUAUCUUGCUGAUCUUCAAGCCGUUCUCAAUUCGCUCACCAGCAAUAACCAAAUUUGAGAAUCCCGAGGUAGUGCUUCCAAUCAUUCUAUCAAGAUACGGCCCUUGAAGGGUGUCCAUGAACAUGUCUAUCAUUUCACUUUCAAGAAGAGGGGGUUGAACCCUGGCAGCUAGAUCUCUCCAAUGUUGGGUGUAUUCUUUAGAAUGAUUUAUCUGGCUUCUGAACAAGGUUUUGAAGUUGAGUCCGAUUGGGAGCCAUGUCUGAGUUAUACUGAUAAUGCUUUAAGAAGGCUUCAGCAAGUUCCCUCAAGGUUCGUAUAUGCGUGCGCUCGAGUUACAUAUACCAUUCCAGAGAAGCUCCACUAAGGAUGUCCUGGAAAAAAGUGCAUUAAGAGUUUUUCAUCAUCAGAAUAAGCAACCAUCUUUCUGCAAAAAGCUCGGACAUGAGUCUUAGGACAGGUGAUCCCUUGAUACUUUUCAAAGUUUGGAACCUUGAACUUAGGAGGAAUUUUCACGCUUGGCACUAGGCACAUAUCGGCAACAUGUAACCCAAAGGUAUUGGGACCUUCUAUCGCCUUUAAUUUAUCCUCCAUCAUAUGAAAUCUUCUUUCGAGGUCAGCUGAAGAAGAACCAAAAGCAUCAUAUACAGAAUCAACCCUUGUAGUGAAGAAAGCAUCCUUAUGGUCGUCAAUAUAAGGUUGAAUUCUCCCAUGGAAAGGGAUGUUGAAUGUCUGAGCAAAAUUUUGAUACACUAGGCCUCUCUCAGGAGGUGGUUGAGUUAUGAUCGGUGUACCAACUCCUUCUGGUGGAUUCACUGGUAUUGUCAUAACAAGAGGGUUGGCAACGAAAGCUCUAAAAUUAGCCUGACGCAUUUCCUCUUGUCCUCUAGCCAAAGCUUGUAUGGCUUCAACAAGUUGACCCACCUGGGCUUUCAUAGUGGCCAUGUCUUCCCUCAUAACAGCUUGGCUUUGCUCCAAAUGAUCCAUGAGAAGCUUCUGAUUGCGGCGCGUGUUAUAUGAAUUUUGGGAAGUCAGCUUGACCGUAGCGGGUUCUGGACAAAGGCCAAACAACAGUGAGUUUCCUUGAAUAGGUAUGAUGAAAUGCAAUUAUGAAUGCAACAUGUUUUUAUGUUUCCUAAAGGAAUGCAUAUGCUUAAUGAUAUGAUGAAAUGGCAUACAACAUCAUGGAUCCAAGGGUUCAUAGCAUCUUAGAAGACCUGAUCGUGGAGCUCAAGGUAUGUUGAAGGUAUAUUUCCCUAUAAGAAACAACCAUGUCCCCUCACAAGGUGAGUACUAAGACUUAUGAAGACGCUUAGAUUCACGGAUCAUAAGGCAAAAGUAUCGUUAUCACCACAAGAUGACUUGUCGGUUAAUAAUACCCUCGGGAUGAUCUCCUCUAAGUGAGGUUUCCCUCAACUUCGAAAGCCAUGGGUCGUCUAAGGUCCUUGGAGUCAUGGACACUCCUUGGAAGGAUGGCUCUUAGCGCGAACGUGACUCAUGUGCCAAAAAAACUCCAAAAAGAAUCUAUUCUAAGUGGGAUGUGCAUGCCUCCCUCUCAAGAAAACCACGUCUGAUAGGUCAACACGAAGUCCCUCAUAUCUUAUGUUUACUCUCUAAGCCUGUGUAUUGGGCUUUUCAUUCAAACAGUAGAUCCAAUCCCACAAUGUCACAACAAGGUACAUAUAACACGAAUAUACAUAACAUGAAUGGAUAAAUAAAGAAAACGAUAACAGAAGAUAAAAAUCCAAGGAAAAGGAUAAAGGCAAGCUAGGCUUGAAUCGCUUAUGGGAACUCCAUAUUGUCCCCAACAGAGUCGCCAGCUGAAGCGCCGCGAGAAAUACUGAGUCACCACCGGAUUUUAUUUAUUCCAAAGGAAAGGGAAAAUAGCGAUAAAACCCCAAAUGAGAGAAAUGGUCUCGCAACCAAGAGAGGAUUCGGAAGCCGGCUAUGCAAGGAAAAGGUAUUAGCACCCAUCAAAUCCAUGGUACUCCAUGGGGACCACUUACUCGUAUCAAUGUGUAUGGAUGUUUAUUUAUCUAUAAGUUGCUUGCUACCGGGAAUGACAUGAAAAAAAUGAGAUGGGAGAGAAAAUAAGUUUUAAGUUAGUGUGCUUGCCAAGGAUUUGGGCCCUCGUGCCUACAUAUCCCCAUACAUGCAAUAGGGAAGUCAGAGCUUCAUAGUUCGGCUCAAAAAUGGAGUAUUUGUUCGGUUGUUUUUACUGAACGGUAUUGAUGUUCGUGCACUACUGUUCACUCUCUUGUAUACUCUGUCAUGGGAGCAGAAAGUAUUUGCUUGUUUGCGGUAAAGUGGAUACGCUUGGUUCGCACUCUAGCAGUUAAACAUUACUUGCUCGCACAUGGAGGCUUAAGCUUCGUUCAUGGUAGAACGGAAGUAAAAUAUUCUUUGAAAGGUUUUGAAGAGAAAUCCCUAAGGAAAAAGAUGAUUUGAGUUGUUCGGGUUGAUUUUAUGUGUGGAGACAAGCAUAAGACCCUUGGCUAGAUACAGUCAACGGACCGAUAACUCGGGAGUUGAGAGGACAAUGUUGUCAUAAUCACUCUUUUUCAUCCGAAAAUAGAAUUGAGUUGUGAAAAGAGUUUGACAAGUCUAAUCAUUGGAACUUAGAGGGCGACGAGUAUUUGACCCUUGACUAAGUAUGGUCAACGAUUAGAGUAAUUGGGAAUCGAGAGGACCAUGGAGUCCUAACUAAUCUUUUUCUCCCUACUAGCACCUAGAUCUAACUUGUUUGAAUUAUUAAAUGUUUUAAGGGGGAAAGUCAAGUGUCGAGUCCUCAGGCUAGGAAUGGCCGACAACCCAAUUACUUGAAUGUUGUGUACAAACACGUACACCCCAUUUGGCAUUCCAAUUUGUUAUGAAAAUGAUUUUGAAAAAGGUAUUUGAUAUUGGAUCAAGCAUUUGAAUUUAUCAUGAAAAUAGUGAGUGAAAAAUGGAGGUGAGAGAUAGAAUGGAUCAAAAUCAACAUGUGGACACAAAAUAAAAAAUGAGUUAGCAUGAGAUAAAGUCGAAUGAAUGAGAAUGAUGCAACAAUAUGUAAGUACAUAUAAUGGUUAGAAUCGAUUCGAAAGGUAAUGGAUUAGUCAAUGAAAAACAAUCAAAGAUCUAUCCUAUGAUCGCGGCAAAUGGAAUUAUACCUACAAAGUAUUCAUCAUCUAAAUUGAAAUGGGAUUUUCAAUUUAAUCAUAUGAUCAUAAACCAAAGGAAUCGAUUAAAUGGACAAUUAAAGGGAACAUUAAUUCUAAAGGGUAAAAUCCACCUAAACAUGAAUUAGGAAUUACUAAUCAAAAUGUGAAAUUCACAAUCCAAAUUCAAGAAUUGAAUCUAAACUACAUGAUUGUACAAAUUAAUCACACAAUAGUCCAAUUGAAUGGGAAUUAACCUAAUGGGGAAAUCAUGGUAAAAUCAAUUAUCUAACUAUAUUAAUCUCAAAAAAAAUUCACAAAAUGAAAUAACAAAAAUCUAAUUACUAAAACCUAAUCAAAACAUGGUUAGUAAAUCAAGAAUUAAUUCUGGAAAAUUAAGAAAUUAAAUCUAAUUUAAAAACUCGAUUAAACCUAAUUUCUAAUUAGAUACCUAAUUAAACCUAAUUAACUAGUCAAACAAUUAAUCAACAAAAAGAAUGAAUUAAAUCCUAAUAUCAAACAUAAAGAAGUUACCUAAUUCUAGAAUCGAAAUUCACAAAACAGGAAUAAUGUUAAUCACACAAAAGAGAAAUUAAAAAUAAACUAACAAGAAUUAAUCAAUGACUAGUGAGGGAUUAUGCACAAAGUUAUGAGCAAAGCAAUGGGCCAUAAGGGGGUGUGAAUGUUAAUUGCUCGUUGGGCCAAAUGCCCAGUCCUUGAAAACCCAUGCUUGAUCCAACACACGCCUGUGAUGAAGACUCUCCAACACUCCGAGACCAUGAUGCCAAGAUUCCACAAGGAAUGGCAGCAUCGAAAUUCCGCUCGAUAAAACCCGGUUCCCAAUCGUGAAAUCUCAAACUCCUUAAAUCCAAGACUAAUUGCGAGCAUCUUUUCUUCUGUACAAAGAGGAAGACGAGAUCUGAUUCGUGUUCAGAAUCAUCGUGGAACAAGAAUUUUGGACUGAAAUAGUAUGUGAAAAAAAUAGAAGCGACUGAGGAAUGAGCCCUACCGGAGUUAGGAACCGCCUAUAACAUUGUCGUUAAAGGUGAAGUUAGAUUUGUACAUGUUGUUUGGAGAUGAAAGCAAAAUCCUCUGCGUUCGUGAUUUAUGGUGAGAUGAGGAUGAAGGCCUUCACUUUUCGUUUUUGUUGAUUGAGACAAAGAUGAGAUCUCUGACUCCCACCGUCGUGAAUUGGUAGGCCUCUACUUCCUUUUUCAUUUUCUUCUGUUUGAUCUUCUUCUUCAAUUUUGUCUCUUUUCUUCUGUUUCAAUUCUGUUUCUCUUCUUCUUCUGUGUGUGGCCGCGUUGUUGUUGAGGGUUAGGAUUGGUGGAGGUUGAGAGUUACGCGAGGUGUGGUUUUUCUACAAGGUGUCGAAGUGUUAUCACGGUGAAGGGAUUGGGAAAGAGAGGUUCGGAUGGUCAGUUCAAGGAGAGAGAUUGGAGGGUUUUGGAGGAUGAUGAUGUUUGUGUGAAUGGAAGAUUAUGGACGAGAAGUUAUGGUUGUGAAUAGAAGAUGGGGGGUGGUUGAGAAAGAAGUUUGUAUCCGUUUCUUGCAGGGCGUUGAGAAAACGGUUGAGAAGAAAAACUGAAGAUAAAUUCCAUUCUCCGGGUGCAGGGGAAGCGAUUUUGGUUAAGUAAUUUGUUGUAGUUUUUUGUUGAAGAGAGAAAAAAAAUCGCUCCUGGGGUUGUAUUGUUAUGUAAUUCUCUUUACGUUGUUGGUGAAUGAAGAAUGCUGUUAUGGGAAGUUUUUUUGGGCUGAGAAAAUCGGUUAAUAGUUGGUUAUUCGGUUGAAUAGUUGGUAGGGUUGAGAGAAUUUAGUUACGUUUUAGUUAUUGCGUUGGUGAGGGGAAUUUAGGAGGUGAUUCUUGUUCUGGAAAUUGUUGAGGUUCAGAGUUAUCAGCAAAAUUCUCUUUUGAUUGUUGGAGGUUCAAAAUCAGUUAUGAGUUUGUUAGGGAAGGUUCAUUAAAUGAUGAGGUUCUCUUUCUAUUAUCCUAGAAAUUAUCUCUUCUACUUCUCUUUCUGUUAUAUGGAGGGUGAAGUAGUUAGAAUGAGAGGUUGAUUUCAAGUUGUUGAAGGGUUUCAUAUUGGAGUUGUUGGUUGAAGCUUUUGAUCGUUAUCAGUUAUGGGAAUUCAAUGGGUUAGAGGGAAUGAGGAGGGCGGUUUCGGUUCUGUUUUUGAGGUUUUUUAUGAGGGUUCCUUGAAGGGUUAUUGGAGUGGAUUGUGAGAUUUUGUUGAAGUUGGAAGUUCAUUUUCUGCAUGUUAUCGGUUCCAUCCUGUUGCCGAUUCUGGAAGUGUUUUGUUAGAGUUGUUUUCCAAAAGCAGGUUGUUGUUAUCAGUUUUUCUUUAAUGUACAUUAAUUAAUGGAUUAAUGAUUAUGGAUGUAAAAGAUGAAUUUUUAGAUUCAAUUGGAAUUAAUGGAUAAUUGGGUUUUUACAGGUUUGGAUUAAAAUCGGAUUGGUAAUAUGGACAUGGUUU
rnacentral:lncRNA from 1 species